UACGUAGGGUGCAGGCGUUAAUCGGAAUUACUGGGCGUAAAGCGUGCGCAGGCGGUCUCUUAAGACAGGUGUGAAAUCCCCGGGCUUAACCUGGGAACUGCGCUUGUAACUGAGAGGCUAGAGUGUGGCAGAGGGGGGUGGAAUUCCACGUGUAGCAGUGAAAUGCGUAGGGAUGUGGAGGAACACCGAUGGCGAAGGCAGCCCCCUGGGCUAACACUGACGCUCAUGCACGAAAGCGUGGGGAGCAAACAGG
rnacentral:rRNA from 1 species